AGAGUUUGAUCCUGGCUCAGGACGAACGCUGGCGGCGUGCUUAACACAUGCAAGUGGAGCGACGAACCGGGCUUCGGCCCGGGGCAAAGCCGCGAACGGGUGAGUAACACGUGGGUAACCCACCCCGAUGACCGGGACAACCCGAGGAAACUCGGGCUAAUACCGGAUGUGUCCCACGUCCAAAAGGGCGUGGUGCAAAGGUAGCUUCGGCCUCCGCAUCGGGACGGGCCCGCGGCCCAUUAGCUUGUUGGUGGGGUAACGGCCUACCAAGGCUGCGAUGGGUAGCUGGUCUGAGAGGACGAUCAGCCACACUGGGACUGAGACACGGCCCAGACUCCUACGGGAGGCAGCAGUGGGGAAUCUUGCGCAAUGCGCGAAAGCGUGACGCAGCAACGCCGCGUGGGGGAAGAAGGCCUUCGGGUUGUAAACCCCUUUCAGUUGGGACGAAGCUUCGCCGGUGAAUAGCCGGCUGGAGUGACGGUACCUUCAGAAGAAGCCCCGGCUAACUACGUGCCAGCAGCCGCGGUA
rnacentral:rRNA from 1 species